ACUCAAAUGAAUUGACGGGGGCCCGCACAAGCGGUGGAGCAUGUGGUUUAAUUCGAUGCAACGCGCAGAACCUUACCAGCUCUUGACAUGGGAAGUAUGGGGCCGUGAAAGCGGUUCCUUCAGUUCGGCUGGCUUCCACACAGGUGCUGCAUGGCUGUCGUCAGCUCGUGUCGUGAGAUGUUGGGUUAAGUCCCGCAACGAGCGCAACCCUCAUCCUCAGUUGCCAUCAGGUUAAGCUGGGCACUCUGAGGAAACUGCCGGUGACAAGCCGGAGGAAGGCGGGGAUGACGUCAAGUCCUCAUGGCCUUUAUGGGCUGGGCUACACACGUGCUACAAUGGCGGAUACAGUGGGACGCGAAGGGGCAACCCUGGGCCAAUCUCAAAAAUCCGUCUCAGUUCAGAUUGCACUCUGCAACUCGAGUGCAUGAAGGUGGAAUCGCUAGUAAUCGCGGAUCAGCACGCCGCGGUGAAUACGUUCCCGGGCCUUGUACACACCGCCCGU
rnacentral:rRNA from 1 species